AAAAUGGCGGAUCCCCGCCCCCUGAGGGUGGUGCGGUGGGUAUAAUUGGGAGUUUCAGUGUUCGCCUUAGGCUGUGUUCUUUAGGUCCGGGCGUUUCAUUGAGGCUGGUGUUACGCUGUAAAAGUUGAUUGGGACUUCCCAGAGACAGUAGUAUGCUUUGGGGAGAUGGCCAGCUUGGCAAGAAAACCGAAGAUCCAUGAAUCCUGAGUUGAACUGUCUUUAUUACAAUACUGAAACCAAUGCCCAUAGGUCAGAAGGACCCCUGCCCAGAGGGGUUCCCCUGAGCAUGCACGGAGUCAGUGGUGUUAAAAAUGUAUGAAAAUUUCUAAUAAGUCAUCAUGAGGAGAACAGACUGGAAAACUACUGGUUUUGUAACUUUUGUGUAUAAAUAUUUUGCGGAUAAUUUCCUGCUUGUGCUUAAUCUGUGGAAACCACUGAGCACCCAGGCUUGCGCAGUCCUGAAAUAAAGAAGCAGUGUCUGUUCCAAAUGUGAGACUUACUGCACUCCAGAUGACAAAUCCAUAUUUCAAACAACAGCAUGAGAGGCUUUCCACCAUAAAGAUAAACAUGUAUUUUGUUAUUUGCAUAUGACAUGUGCAGGAGAGAUAACUUCAUCCUUACUUAAGUGUUCUUGUAAUACCUUUAUAAUCUCAUAUGCCCUAAAAGU